rnacentral:rRNA from 1 species
GACGUAGGGCGCGAGCGUUGUCCGGAUUUAUUGGGCGUAAAGAGCUUGUAGGCGGCUUGUCGCGUCGACUGUGAAAACCCGCGGCUCAACUGCGGGCCUGCAGCCGAUACGGGCAGGCUAGAGUUCGGUAGGGGAGACUGGAAUUCCUGGUGUAGCAGUGAAAUGCGUAGAUAUCAGGAGGAAUACCGAUGGCGAAGGCAGGUCUCUGGGCUAUAACUGACGCUCAUGCACGAAAGCGUGGGGAGCAAACAGG